UACGGGGGGGGCAAGCGUUGUUCGGAAUUACUGGGCGUAAAGGGCUCGUAGGCGGCCAACUAAGUCAGACGUGAAAUCCCUCGGCUUAACCGGGGAACUGCAUCUGAUACUGGAUGGCUUGAGUUCGGGAGAGGGAUGCGGAAUUCCAGGUGUAGCGGUGAAAUGCGUAGAUAUCCGGAGGAACACCGGUGGCGAAGGCGGCUUCCUGGACCGAUUACUGACGCUGAGGCGCGAAAGCUAGGGGAGCAAACGGG
rnacentral:rRNA from 1 species